AUGCUUUGGCAGCACAUAUACUAAAAUUAGAACAAUACAGAGAAGAUAGCAUGGCCCUUAUGGAAGGAUGACAUGCAAAUUUGUGAAGCGUUCCAUAUUUUU
rnacentral:snRNA from 1 species